rnacentral:rRNA from 1 species
GCUACGGGAGGCAGCAGUGAGGAAUAUUGGUCACUGGGCUUACGCCUGAACCAGCCAAGUCGCGUGAGGGAAGACUGCCCUAUGGGUUGUAAACCUCUUUUGUCAGGGAGCAACGCCGGCUACGUGUAGCCGGACUGAGAGUACCUUAAGAAAAAGCAUCGGCUAACUCCGUGCCAGCAGCCGCGGUAAUACGGAGGAUGCGAGCGUUAUCCGGUUGGAUUGGGUUUAAAGGGAGCGGAGGCGGAAUUCAAAGUCAGCGGUAAAAUCGUGGGGUCCAACCGCGCUCCGCCGUUGAAACUGGCGUUCUUGAGUGGGCGAUAAGUAUGCGGAAUGCGUGGUGUAGCGGUGAAAUGCAUAGAUAUCACGCAGAACUCCGAUUGCGAAGGCAGCAUACCGGCGCCCAACUGACGCUGAAGCACGAAAGCGUGGGUAUCGAACAGGAUUAGAUACCCGUGUAGUC